rnacentral:lncRNA from 1 species
UAAUUAGCUUCUCUUCCCGAUUGGGUCCGUCUAGUUCGAAGAUCUUCGAAAGAAUUUCCGUAUGGUGGUCUAUAACAUGUAUCAUAUAAUUGCUUGUAUACUAUUAGCUAGAGUCUGUAGUUUAUGCGUGUGUAAUCUGCAAAAUUAGCCUAGACCCGAAUAUUAGCUAGAGUCUGUAGUUUAUAUGUGUGUAAUCUGCAAAAUUAGCCUAGACCCGAGGCUCUCUUUUCUCCACUCCUUUUGGUGCACGUAAGGGUGAAGAAGAUGCUAAAAUCAAUAAACAGAUGGACCGUUUUG